rnacentral:rRNA from 1 species
AUAUGGCUCAGAUGAACGCUGCGGCGUGCUAACACAUGCAAGUCGAACGCGAACGGGGCUUCGGCCCCAAGUAGAGUGGCGCACGGGUGAGUAACGCGUGGACAAUCUGCCCUUAUGACUGGAAUAACAGUUGGAAACGGCUGCUAAUACCGGAUACGCUCAGGAAGAACUUUUUGAGGAAAGGCGGCCUCUGCUUGCAAGCUGUCGCAUAAGGAUGAGUCCGCGUCCCAUUAGCUAGUUGGCGGGGUAACGGCCCACCAAGGCAACGAUGGGUAGCCGAUUUGAGAGGAUGAUCGGCCACACUGGGACUGAAACACGGCCCAGACUCCUACGGGAGGCAGCAGUGGGGAAUAUUGCGCAAUGGGCGAAAGCCUGACGCAGCGACGCCGCGUGAGGGGAAUGAAGGUUUUCGGAUCGUAAACCUCUGUCAGAAGGGAAGAAACUGCCGUGCUCUAAUCAUCAUGGCAUUGACGGUACCUUCAAAGGAAGCACCGGCUAACUCCGUGCCAGCCGCGGC